rnacentral:rRNA from 1 species
CAAUAGCGUAUAUUAAAGUUGUUGCAGUUAAAAAGCUCGUAGUUGGAUUUCGGGGCAGCCUGGCUGGUCCGCCGCAAGGCGAGUACUGGUCAGCCGCCCUUCCUCUCGAAAGCCCCGACUGCUCUUUAUUGCAGUGGUCGGGUAGUUCGGGACGUUUACUUUGAAAAAAUUAGAGUGUUCAAGGCAGGCCUACGCCUGAAUACAUUGGCAUGGAAUAAUGGAAGAGGACCUCGGUCCUAUUUUGUUGGUUUCCAGGACCGAAGUAAUGAUUAAGAGGGACAGUUGGGGGCAUUCGUAUUUAAUUGUCAGAGGUGAAAUUCUCGGAUUUAUGAAAGACGAACAACUGCGAAAGCAUUUGCCAAGGAUGUUUUCAUUAA